AACCCAUGUUGAGGACAUUUCCACAGGAGAUCCUUGAACCUUUCCCAUAACUUAAAAACAGACUCCAAUUCCAUUUACAAAAAAGUGGAUAUUUCAUUCCUUAGCUU